rnacentral:tRNA from 1 species
ACCGCCAUUAGCUCAUCAGGAAGAGCAGACGACAACCAGGAUUGUUGUAUGGUACGGGGUUCGAGGCCUCGAUGGCGGUAC